UGGGUGCAGAGUUCUGAUAGGAGGGCAGGGAAGGAGAGCCUUAUUGAAUUAGGGCCCAGAUUCUUACUGGGUCAUGUAACUCAGAAAAUUUGCCAACAGUCAAAGUUUUCUUAAUGCGUAAUGGCCAACAGAUAAUUGUAAAAAAUUAAACACAUAAUCAAUCCAGGGUGUUUCUGGUUGUAUCAUGUGAGCUCAUGACAGGCUCUGUCCUGAAUGCAGACACAUCUUCAUACAUCGUAUACCUCCCCUAGGAGCUGUGAGAUCACCUGACACCCCUCAGCUCAGGGAAAUUUGACUCGAGCUACAGAACAAAGGCAGAAGAAAUAGAAGUAAAAGAAAAUCAAAGAAAAAGUGGUUCGGAUUCAAGGGGAUCGAAUGUUUCAUUUAUUGCAGGGAUAGAAAGUCAGCAGAAGUAUUGAGUGGAGAGAACUUGGAGUCACAACUAUAUAAUAUUCUAUUCUGCUAUGUAUAAUAUUCUGCCACACUACUGAAGGAAAAGAAAUAGUGUGGGCAGAGAAACCAGCCUUCUGCCCAGGACCAGGGGAGCCUUGCGGGUAUCUGCAGAGCCGCCGGAACCUUCUUCUGUAUAAUGGAGAAGCACAUCACUAUGGCACAUUCUAGCCAUGGCCACUCUGGUUCCACUGCUCAAGAACCCCCUUUCCCAGAGCUCUUCUGUCCAGUGGGCCCUCAUCAACUCUUCACAUCCCCUCAGCAGAGGGAGUGUGCCAGACUCAAAGGCAUGAGGCUGUAAUGGCACCUCUACUCUGCUUACACUCUGUGCAGCCGACUGCCUCAUGGCCUGACAUAGGGGGAAGUCACAUAGCACGUGCCCUUUGCUAUCUGGCUUAUUCCACUCAGCAGAAUGCCUUCAAGAAUUCUUGCAAGGUAAUGAAUGAUUCACACGCAUAGAAGACAUGCUUACAAAACGAGUUACAUAAAAUAAACAGUUGUGGAAAUAAUUUCAA